rnacentral:rRNA from 1 species
CCUACGGGGGGCAGCAGUGGGGGAUAUUGCACAAUGGGGGAAACCCUGAUGCAGCGACGCCGCGUGGGUGAAGAAGCGCCUCGGCGCGUAAAGCCCUGUCAGCAGGGAAGAAAAUGACGGUACCUGAAGAAGAAGCCCCGGCUAACUACGUGCCAGCAGCCGCGGUAAUACGUAGGGGGCAAGCGUUAUCCGGAUUUACUGGGUGUAAAGGGGGCGCAGACGGCGAUGCAAGCCAGGUGUGAAAGCCCGGGGCCCAACCCCGGGACUGCUCUUGGAACUGCGUGGCUAGAGUGCAGGAGGGGCAGGCGGAAGUCCUGGUGUAGCGGUGAAAUGCGUAGAUAUCAGGAGGAACACCGGUGGCGAAGGCGGCCUGCUGGACUGCAACUGACGUUGAGGCCCGAAAGCGUGGGGAGCAAACAGGAUUAGAUACCCCAGUAGUC